UACAGAGGUCUCAAGCGUUGUUCGGAUUCAUUGGGCGUAAAGGGUGUGUAGGUGGCGCGCUAAGUCGGGUGUGAAAAUUUCGGAGCUUAACUCCGAAACUGCAUUCGAUACUGGCGUGCUUGAGGACUGGAGAGGAGACUGGAAUUUACGGUGUAGCAGUGAAAUGCGUAGAUAUCGUAAGGAAGACCAGUGGCGAAGGCGGGUCUCUGGACAGUUCCUGACACUGAGACACGAAGGCCAGGGGAGCAAACGGG
rnacentral:rRNA from 1 species